AUUGAACGCUGGCGGCAUGCUUUACACAUGCAAGUCGAACGGUAACAGGCCGCAAGGUGCUGACGAGUGGCGAACGGGUGAGUAACGCAUCGGAACGUGCCCAGUCGUGGGGGAUAACUGCUCGAGAGAGCAGCUAAUACCGCAUACGAUCUAUGGAUGAAAGCGGGGGACCGUAAGGCCUCGCGCGAUUGAAGCGGCCGAUGGUAGAUUAGGUAGUUGGUGGGGUAAAGGCUCACCAAGCCAACGAUCUGUAGCUGGUCGGAGAGGACGACCAGCCACACUGGGAAUGGGACACGGCCCAGACUCCUACGGGAGGCAGCAGUGGGGAAUUUUGGACAAUGGGGGCAACCCUGAUCCAGCAAUGCCGCGUGCAGGAAGAAGGCCUUCGGGUUGUAAACUGCUUUUGUACGGAACGAAACGGUCUGGGUUAAUACCCUGGGCUAAUGACGGUACCGUAAGAAUAAGCACCGGCUAACUACGUGCCAGCAGCCGCCGUAACAC
rnacentral:rRNA from 1 species